UACAGAGGGGGCAAGCGUUAUUCGGAAUUACUGGGCGUAAAGGGCGCGUAGGCGGCCUUCUAAGUCGAACGUGAAAUCCCCGGGCUCAACCCGGGAACUGCGUCCGAUACUGGAAGGCUUGAAUCCGGGAGAGGGAUGUGGAAUUCCGGGUGUAGCGGUGAAAUGCGUAGAUAUCCGGAGGAACACCGGUGGCGAAGGCGGCUUCCUGGACCGACACUGACGCUGAGGCGCGAAAGCUAGGGGAGCAAACGGG
rnacentral:rRNA from 1 species